GUGAAGGAGAAGGAGGAACGGGGCCAUGCCGGGGCAGGUGGAGGAUGUUCGCAGCAGUCUCACCUCGGAAGACGGCCAGGGUGCCAUUGGGCAGGGCCACCAUGCCGUCCGCUGGCUUGCCGCUGCACAGGUCCUUCUCGUCGUUCUUCUCUGCAAAACACAGCCAGCCACGGAUGCCAUCCAAGACUGACAAUGGUCUGUACCCUGUUUUUGGAGGAUGUGUGUGACAAUCCAAUAGAGACACAGGAGACAUCACCUCUCUGCACCAUCUGUGCUGAGUGAACUCUCCAAAGUCCUGAGGGCUCGGUGAGGUGCUUGGUGUCAACUGUAUAAGAGUGACCAACUUCCAUUUAAAACUGUUUCUUUUCAUUUAUGGGAUUCUUUACACAAAUAUUUGUGUGAAAAACAGCACAAAUACCCUUUUGAUCCUGAAGUGUUUAGUCACAGAUGGGAGCAAUAUUUUUCCCAGAAGUUUGAGAUGACUUUUUACUACUUGACUUGCACUACAGAUAACUAACUCUACAGAUAACUCUAGUGGAAAAGGAGAGCUGUCACAUUAGCCAAGAAUUUGCUUUGAUAAUCCCCUUGCAGCUCUUCAGAUGUGAUAAUUCUACACAAGUGAUUGUUUUGGGGAGACAUUUUGAAAUAAAUGGUUUCCUUGAAGGAGACAGGAGCUACAAAGCAGGCAUGGACCAAGGAAACAACAUAGAGUUCAUUUGCUGGUGUUCUUAAAGCUACAUGAGGGCGGGACUGCACCUCCAGAUCUGUGCCUUUGUGCUCAGCUGAAACCCCACCAGGCUCUGCAGAAAAGGACAGAACAAAAGAAGUGACUGCAGGUCAGUUUGAUUCUGCCCUGGACUGAACUUGCAGCCUAAAGGUAAAAUACGUGUUUUCUUAAAUUUUUUCUUCCUAUACUGUGAACACAUGGCAUCCAGUUCCUCCAACCUGCCCCACAGGAUGGGUUUCUGUGUCGGGCUACUCUUCCCAUAUUGGAUUUGGAUGGGGAGAGAAUGUAGGAUGUGCAUCUCUAAUAUGCUGCCAGUGACUGUGGUGGCCCCAAGCAAGUGGUCUGUAGGUCCAGGUAGUGUUAUCCCAAGGCACAGAGUAGCCAUUCCCCACUUUUGGAUGGGUGGGGAUUUUAAGGGAGUUGUUUUUAGAAGAUGAACUCACCUUUUUAUUGCAAUUUAUUUAUUGAUCUGCCUAGUGGAAAAGGCCCUGGAGGUGCUGGAGACAGUGGCUAAAUGUGAGCCAGAUGUGCCCAGGUGGGCAGGGGGCCAAUGGCCCCUGGGCUGUGCCAGCCCUGGUGUGGGCACCGGCCCAGGACAGUGGCUGUGCCCUGUGCUGGCCCUGCUGAGGCACCUCGAGUGCUGUGCCCAGCUCUGGGCCCUCUGGCCAGAGAGACCUUGAGGGGCUGGAGCGUGUCCAGGGAAGGGAACGGAGCUGGGGAAGGGUCUGGAGCACCAGGAGGGGCUGAGGGAGCUGGAAAGGGGCUCAGCCUGGAGAAAAGGAGGGUCAGGGGGACCUUGUGGCUCUGCACAACUCCUGACAGGAGGGGACAGCCGGGGGGGGGUCAGGUUUUGCUCCCAAGAACAUGGGAUAGGACAAGAGGAAAUGACCCCUAGGAGCACCAGGGGAGGUUUGGGUUCCCAGGCUGCCCAGGGCAGGGGUGGAAUCCCCAUCUCUUGAGGGAUUUAAAAGCUGUGUGAAUGUGGCACUUGGGACAUGUUUUAGUGGUGGCCUUGGCAGUGCUGGGGGGGAUGGUUGGAUAUAAUGAUCUCAAAAGGUCUUUUCCAAACAAAUCUGUUCUGAUUCCCCAGCUUCUCUCAUUGAAUUCUGUUACUGAUGUGUAGACCUUAUCUUUACACACAGUAUUCUGAGUAAGGGCUCUGACAGAGCGUGGCUAAUGGCAAAAGAGCCUAAUGUAAAAUACAACUUUAACCUCAGAACUCACAUCUUAGUGAUGGCUUCCAGGAUAUCUACCUGUAUGUUUCCAUAAAAUGUUCAUGCUUGAGAAAUUGGCCAAUUUGUUUGUGAAAUUAGGUUUUGUUAUUUUUGUUCUGUUUUGUUUUGUUCUGUUUUCCGUUUUUCAGUUGUUACCAAAGCCCACAGAGUUUUGUUUACGGUAAAGCACCUCUGCUUAAAUAUUUCUUUGAGAAAAAGACAGAGAAAUGUCUUACCCUCUUUACAGUGCUUGACGUAGUCUGGGCAGCAUUUUCCGUACCGCUCGCAGUCGGCGUCGCAGUCGCACUCCCUGCCCCUCUCGAAGGCUUCGAAGCAGCGUCCCUGGCAGGAGGCGGCUGUGGAGGCAGAGCAGCACCGUCAGGCUUUGGGCCAGCUCGUGUGCAACGCUGGGACCUCUCUACAGUGAAGUCAUUGGCUCGAGCUGGGGCCAAGAGCAGCUCCAUAAAAUCAGGCUCUUAUCCUGGUCUGAUCCAGGAUUUGUCUGUAAUGUGGGGUUUGGAUCAGGCAGUGCCGUGAAGGGCACUGUGCCAUGGCAGUGACCACUGGAUUGAGAGUGCAAUAAAACCUGACCGCCGCGUUCACUUUAGCCAGGUCCCACCGUAGGAGGCUUCUGCUUCCCCAACCACAGAGCGGUGAUCUCAACAGUGAUAUUUCAAUUCUGGGCUGGGUUUGCAGGAAGGUGUUCACCAGGGUAUCCCUUUACAACAAGAAUGAUGUAUCUACCAAAGCAUUUCUGAAAAAUAAUUCACCUAAUUAGGUCACAACCGAGUGGUUUGUGACCUGGUGUGUCCAGGCAAACACUGCAACCUAGUGUGAGCAGGUUAGCCAAGUUACCCCAAGAGACCAGUUUGGAACUGUUUAAUACAGUUCUUUAAUUAUUAGUACUAAAGGACUAUAUACAUGUUUUGAUAUGAUUUUAAUAUUUCAUGUUUGGUUAACUUCUGAAACUUCACUGACCAAACUGCUAUUCGAUAUCAAAUUUCUAACCAUGUUGUGUUAGAGUGUACACAGCUAUUAGACUUCAGAAAAAGCACUUUCUCUACGUAAGUUUCUAUUAAAAUCAUUGUCUCUGUGGCACACAAGGCAUAAAAUCAUGUUUUACAGUUAAAUCACUAUCAAGAAAAAUUAGAAUUGCUGUAUAGGCAGAUUCUGAACAUCUUUGGAUUAGCGCAGUUGUGGAAUCAAUGUUGAUGCCAGUGGAUCCAUCCCACAUGCACAGGUGAGAAUUAUUUUUAUUAUCUUAGGGUAAAAUUUAUUCAGAAAUAAUGUCUGGCAUUUCUGUCAUUUAGUCAGUGUUGAUUCCACACUCACUGGGCAGCAGUCCUUAAGCAGACUGCCUGCAUCCUUUCAGGAUGGCACCUACUGUGCUUGCCUGGACUCACUGAUUUAGAGUAGAAAAGGGAAGACUUCUCUAGCCUUAAACUUUUGGUUAAAUGUUGUGCAGAAGCCAGAAUACCUUUAGAAUCUGACCCGCAAUGAAUAAAUAAUUUCCAUAAUUAAAAUGCCUCACUUUGCAUCUUCAGCUGUGAGAAAUGCUGAUGUCCUCCCACAAAGCUGAAUGAGGAUAGGGAAGACUGAAGGGCAAAGUGUCCCCAGUGUUUGUCAGGGCAGCAGAACUGGAAUUUUAGGGAAUGCUAGGUCUGCAUUUUGAACAACACUCAGUGGUGUUGCUGGUUCUGAGAAGUAUUUGUUACUCCUGUAAUUCUACUGGAACCACAGUGUAGUGUAACAAACUACUGUUACCCAAAUCACUGGCAUUUCUGACACUGGUGAUUGCUAUGAAAAUGCUUUUAAUGCUCAGUAAAGCAAUAAUCUGUUUUUAUUUACAUUGUGCAGGCAUAAAUUAAUACUCAUCCAAACACCUUUUCCAGCAGACUCUGGACAUGGUUCUGAUCCAGAGUAAAUUUCUGUCCAUGGAAGGACACCCUGGCUUUGAAUUAGACCCCACAGCAUCCACACUUCUUAAAUUUGAGUUGGAAUUUGUCAGAAUUUCUUUCUGCAAAACCCUAAAUUGGCUUUUAACAAUUGUUUUCUUUGUAUAAGAGACAGACGCAUACAGUACAAAUGCACUAAGGAGUAGAAAACAAACAGUUUUUGCUGAUCUUGCUUAGUUCUGCUUUUGUAAAAAGCAAAAUUCUUUGCUUGGCAAUAACCUGUGGAUACACAAUUUUCUUUGGAUCACAAGAGGUUAUCCUGAAUAUUUGAGGGGAGCAACAAUACAUGUAUGAGCGGGAACAAGGACACAGCAAACCAACAGACACUUAAGCAUUCAGAGAGGAGACACUGGUGUGGUAGGGGACUGGGAGUGGAAUUUGAGGAGAGGAACUGGCUGUGUUUGGGAACUUACCCACUAUGCAGACUUUCCUGAAGUCAGGGCAGCACUCCAUGUAGUGGUGACAGUUAAAAUCACACUGGCAGUCAUGCUCUCUAGAAUACCCUGCCCCACAUCUCCCUGUACAGCUCGAUACAUCUAAAAUCACACAACACUGGUGUAAGCAGUGACCAACCACAACGGUCCUUAAGGUAAUGCUGGAUGGAAAAGGACUAAAGUUUCUCUCUUUUUUUCCUAUAGAAUGUGGUUUCCUCACUCAGUACUGAAGAAGCUGAGGGCCUGGUGUGACCCCUCCUGAAGGUGUGGGGAGCAGAGGUUUGCUCUGAGGCAUUCUGAGGACCACCAGCAUCAUGUAUUCAGAAAAGCCUUUAAACUCAGUGUAGCUGCAGACAUUAUGGAACAUCUUGAAGAGCAGGAGAAGGAGAAGCAGAUUUGCUGGCUGGUUACAUCUAUGGAUGUAAUGGACUUCUCUGGAGUUUUGGCUUGUAUGGACUGUUUCUACUGAAUCAUAACUGCAAGAAAACAAGAGAUUUAACUAUAGGAAGAAAAAAAGUCAAGCAGCAUUUCAACAUGAAGAAUGACUCAGGAUAAGAAGAAUGAAGAAAAUUAACAUGCAAAAGGAGCUGCACUUAAGCCAUUCAGACUCUCCAGCAUUAAUGGAAGUUGGCGACGAAGGUGCUUUAGCUUUCCAGACUUCAUUGUGGUGCUGAGUGACAGCAAAGACAUUCAUCUGGUUUUGGGCUGAAUCAAAGCUCUCCACUGGAUCAGAGGCUGAAGUCUACAAGGUCACUGGAAAUGUGCCAGGUGCCUCCUCUGCACCCCGGCCAGGGGAUCCUACAGCAGUGCUGUGUGUGCUGCUCCCUCUCGUGUGUGACAGCACGCCAGGCACUGGGAUUCCAGCCUCGUAAAAUAAUCCAUGGAUUUCAGCUGUUGCACUGGGCCAAGUUUUCAUUGGCAGCAGCCUUGGAUUUGAGCUGCCAGAACUGGAAACGCCUGUUAAGGCAAAGGGCUCCAGCGCUCCCCCUGGACCCCGGGAGCAGUGUCCUGCCUGUAAGUGCCCCGCCGCUGCGGGCGGUGACGGCUGCGUGACUCAGCGUCCGCCUUGGUUUCGCACCCACUGUCUGGAUCUGACUUGGAAGUGGACAUUUCCCACUCAGGCACAGCUGCUCUGGUCUUUGCUGAGCAUCCAUCUCACCUGAUGACAUGUUUUCCCUUUAGCCAACAGUGCUGUGUUUCUAGCACGGGCUCAUUACUGUACCCAUGCAGUAGCUUUUCACUUUGGCCAGUGUGUGAAGGAAAACAAAGCCCCAGUGCAUUUCCUCUCUCCAGAGGCUGGCAAGCUGGAUCCCUACAGAAGGCAUGGGCUGAGUGCUCUGGGCACUGCUGCAGCAAGCAGAUGGCUGGAUCCAAGGUGUGCCCACGAGGAGAACAUACUGUGGAAAGUGACCAUUCCAGUGUAAUAAAUAAAGCAAGUGGGAACAGGUCCUCAAAGCCACGGAUCUUCCUCUUGAAGUGGAACAACAGGACUGAAGAGGCAGCCUCCGGGAAGCAGGGGAGGAGAAAAGCACAUAGCACCCUUUGAAGUGCGGUGGUUCCCGUAAGUACGGGCAGGCAGCAGAGCAGGCUGCAGCAGCCUGGCCCCGGGGAAGGAGGUGGAGCUCAGUAGGGGAAGGCGGACACGGCGAUGUAGAUGAUGAAGGUGGUGCGGUACUCGACGCUGCCCUCGGCGCUGUAGGACAGGGCCCGCACGCCCAUGCGGAUCAUUCCAGAAAGAUGUUGGCUGCACUGAUAUCAUUGAUGGCCAUAGGGUUUUGCCGUUGGGCAUGAGGCGGUAUCCCGCGGGACAGGCACACUGGAAGCUGCCCAGGCUGUUCCUGCACUCGUGCUGACACGUGUCUCUGCUCUCACACUCAUCGAUGUCUGUGGAGAGAAGCACCAACACCUCAGCACUCCCUGAGCCUGCCAUGAACACAGGCACUAAAGUCAGCUUUGAGGGGCUCCUCCCCUCGAUGAAGAGCAGCUGUGACAGAUCCCAGCUGAGGAGACCAGUCCUGAGACAGAGCUCUGGGAGAAAGGGGGAUGUGCCACCUCUGUCCACUGCCAGGGUCAUACAAACACAGUCCUGCCCCCAAAGCAAUCUGAGCUGCCUGAUGAUCAACCAAAUGUUAAGCAACAUGCUUAGGGAACACCCACACUCCUUAUCUCACCAGAGGAAGCCUUGUUACUGUGGGAGUCUUCCUUACAGUCACUCCCUCCUCAGGCAAAGCUGUUUCCCUUUUAAACUGGCCUUGCCCAUGCCAGAGGGAUGAAUUAGGCUCAGUAGCUGGGAAGAGUGUCACUAAAUGCUCUUCUUUUCUUUCUUCCUUUUCUUUUUUUUUUUAAUCUCCCUCUCAAAUACAGAAGUACUAGUACCAGACCACAUUAUGUAAAGUUUCCAGAGCACAUUAGCAUGAUGUAGACACAGAUAACUUGUAAUUAUAAUGGGCUUUUAAAACAUCUGCCUAGUUCAGGACAGCAGCAAAGUAAUCUCAAGCAAGAGUUCAGACUUGCAUGGUUAAAUCAGUGGAAGGAAGAUCUCUGCUUCCCCUCUGUUGGACUGACAGGGGUUGCAUUAGAUCAAAAUGCAAACAGAAAAGAGAUACAGAUGUGACUACAAACCUCUGUGCUGUUAGCAAAUCCUGAUGGUUGCCUACAGAAAUAAUUUUCUUUAACAAAAGCAUCCUUUGGGGCUAUUUUUCAUAUUAAACAAUAAUUUUAAAAUUCAGAUAUUUAUUCAAUGAAAUGAAAGUUUCAUGGAAUAUUAUUAAUAUUAAUGGCAUAUUUACUAAUUCCAACUGGAAGCUAGGAUGAAGAUCAAAAUUGGAAACAAACCCUUCUCUCAGAGUUGUAUUCCUGGGUCUCUCAAUUUGACUCCUAUACCAUAACAAUCCACAUGGAUGUGACUACUGAAACCUCUCUGAAGCUUAAAUACAAGGUUUGAUGUCUUCUCCAUGCUCACUGAAUUACAUAGCAACCCCUUUUCUUACAUGAAAUAAUUUAAAAACUUCUCUGUCUGUCACCUGCGUGACAGUGGCAGUGCUGGCAGUGGCCCCAGUGUGAUUGAUUCUAAAAUGUUUAUUCCAAACUUUUCUGACACAGAUUACUGAUGCCAGUGGGAGUCUGACAGAAGCACUGUAACCAGGCUGGGGCUGCUGGUGGCUUUUGUUGUGUGAGAAGAUUCACCAAUGUGAGCUACCAUGACCAGGAGAAGGAAUAACAGAGGGAAAUACUUUGCAUACAGGCUGAUGUGACUGUGCUCACCAGGACAGGAGCCCUGCUGAAGCCUUGUGUCAGCCUCAGCUGCUCAGUACUCUCUUAGUAAUUGGGGUUUUUUUCCCCCUUAAGUGCUCCACAGAUGAGUGGAAGAAGCUGCUGGGUCCUUCUUUAAAAGACAAACCUUAACACAGAGCAUUCCAGAGAAGUACAGUGCUAGAAAUUCCUUACACCCCACACUAAGGGAAGCACAACAGGCUCUGAUGUGGUUAUUGUGCCUCGUGUUGGGGGAAUCACAGAAUCAUGGAAUGCUUUGGGUUGGAGGCAGCUUACAGCUCAGCCAGUCCCACCCCCUGCCAUGGGCAGGGACACCUUCCACCAGCCCAGCUUGCCUCAAGCCCUGCUCUACCUGCCCUUGGACACCGCCAGGGAUGGGGCAUCGGGCUCAAGAAUAUGUUUCAAGGCUGCAGGGGCAAGAGGUUGGCUCCCUUCUAACGCUGCUAUUGGUUGUUACAGGUUGGAGACUCAAAAGUACAUUUAAUUCACUUUUGGACAAUUAAAAAAUAGAUUUAUUUUUGCUUUCCUAAGCAAUGUCUAUUUCUUUUUAGUUGUUUAAAUUGCAGGCCAAAGUUAUUUGGACCAGCAGUAAAUAUCCAUCCCUAAAUCAAAACUGAGUGCUGAGCUCACAUAGUAAAGGCCUUGAGGGUGCAACAUGCUGAGUGUCCUUCCCUCCGAGUAACUAUAAGUGCCCUUGGGACUGCAGGAUCUUUUCCCACGGUCUCUCUGACACUACCAGAAAGAAAUUUUCUAUUGUUUUUAUCAAGUUACUUCAGACUCAGCUAGAAAUUUGACACAUACUGUAUUUCUUUUCAAACUUAGUAUUUCUUCACCAGAAAAAGACAGAAGUUUGUUAAUUUCAAACAAUCUGCAAUGAUCACAAACUAAAAACCUGCUAUUAACAUUAUCCUACUAGAAAUUAAAGAUUAUUUUAAUGGCAACUCAAUAAUAAUUUAAUUAUUCCAUAGUAGUGUGUAUUCUUUCAAUUACUACUGUAGAAAUGCCAUUAAGCCAGUGUUGUCACAGUUUCAUUUGGAUCCCUAUGAACAGAAACUUCUGAGCACAGCUUGUAACUCCUCCCCAAGCCACAAAUUAAUGAGAAUAGUAUUUAAAGAUCAAUACUGUCCAAAAUACAGUAGAACAUUAGGCUGCAUUUUUAUGAAGUGGUUAAUAUUUGAUACAUUUAAGGCUUUAAACAAUUUAGGGGGAUAUUAAUAAUUAAUUGCUUUAAGAGUUGGAAAUCCAGAAGUAGUAAUUACAGAGUGUUACAUUAUUUUGCAGCUGUUAUUUGGCAAACACACAACUGAAACUUCACAUAUUUAUGGAAUUAUCUUUAGGGUAGAAUUUUCAGGUGUUACAAAUGAGAAUUUCACUUUAAGGAUGACAACAACUGAUCUGAAUUUUAAUUGUAUUAAUCUCAGUAUGUACUUAAGAUGAAAAAUUUAUUAUUCAUAUACAUGUAAAAGAAAAUUAAUUCAAUUAUCUCCUUAGCACUCAAGUGUUGACUUUUACAUUCUGUACCUACCUAAAAUAAAUUAACACUGAUGCCUUUAUGACAACCAAUGUCCUUGGAACAAGUUCUGGAUAAGCAAUAGAAGAUUUUCAUAGAAAUUACGGAAGACAACAAGUGAAAGUUUGAGCAAUUUCUUUUGCAAGAGCAGCCUGUGCAAUACAAGCAGAACUGACUGCAGGGAGUCACCAGCACUGGUUCCAGGGCUGCCCCUGUGAGAACAGGCUGCUGAGGCAUGGGAACCCUAAUAUUUAUAAGAACAAGAUAAAAUUACUUUGAAAUACCUACAUUUUCAGGCUUUCUCUAAUUUGAAAAACAGUACCUGAUUUUAUAUUCUAAACAGCCUUGCAUGUGUAAUCUGCAUUAUAGCAGCUUUUAGCAAAGCCCUUCACCUAUGUGGAAUGGAGAGAAAACAACACAGCUCCCAGAAAUGCUGUAAUCCAGGUAAAUGGGCAGACAGAGCUCUGUGGGGGUCACAAAGGAACAUCUUUAUCCCCAUCCAACAAAUAAAAAAGGGAAUUGUGGCACAAAGGGCUUUACCCAGGGUAAAAAUGGCACAGGCAGGAACAAAAUUCACGACUUCUGUUUCAGUCUGAGCCCUCUUUAGUUUCCAACUCCUCCCUGUGCUCGCUGUCAACAAUGACAAUAAGAACUGGAUUUUAUUAACAAAACGAAUGCUUUGGAUGAAUAUAUAUUUAAAAUAUAUUUUUAGGAACAUAAAAAUUCAAACCAUGAAAAUACAUUAAGAGGGAGCUUUCAGCCCCUUGGUCAGAAGGCAGCUUUAAGGGUGCUGGUAUUUUAUGAAAACCUACAGUCCUAGACUUUACCUGGCUUUUUCCUGUCAGGAGUUUAAAUGGCUUAAAUAUACGUUAAGAGUCUGGGAUUGGUUUUAUUUCAGUACAGAGGCAGAUGGCAGAAGUAAUAUAAUAUCUUACAUAAUGUAAUGGUAUACAGCCAAACACUUCUUAGUGCAAUUUAAUCUCUUUUAAAAAAUCCCAAACACUCCUGGCUUUUGACAGUCCAAAAUCUUAGGUUGUUAAAAAAAAUAAAAUAAGAAAAAAACCUAUUUAUCUUGAAGAAGUCAUCAGGGAGGAAUGUUUUCCUGACACAUGUAACAGCAACCGAAACCAGCCUCACUUGGUGUUAUAUACCCACAUUCAGAAAUCCUCAUUAUCAGGGUAGGUCAGCUCUUACAUUUUAAAUAUUUUAUAUGUAUGUGGUAAAGGUGAUUCUAAAUGAUCCUACUGCCUUCCUGAAGUCUCUUAAAUGCCAGGGGAAGUGCUUAUCCACUUGCCCUGGCCCUACACAUUAAAGUCUCAUGCUCCCCGUCAGAGCUCUGCAGUCUUCCAUGAUGUGGGAGAAAACCCUGCAUGGCUUUAUGCCAAGAUGUCACAGGGAGUGACAGAAUGGCUGGCAUUCCUGUGAGUGCCAGAGAUCCUAUUCCUUCCCUGCUGGGAGCCACCCAUGCCAGGAGGGGAGUACUGAGAGAAAUGCAGAUCAGGUCCCUGCUCUCUGCUUGCUGGGGAACACCCCUGGCAGUCCUGAUCAGGGCAUGGGUGUACUUGUGAUGUUCAGGAGCCAAACUCAGUUCUGGGUCUGUGGCCUCCUGCAGCUGCUUGGGGUGUGCUCCCUGGGGGAACCCACAUGACUCCCUGUGUGACUGCCCUCAGGGCUGAGCCAGGGCAGCAUCAACAAACCCCACCUGAUUUUGUAACUGAAGCCUCCUGUGGGGCAGUCAUUUGCCACAUCCAUCCACCAGUGCCGAGUCCCUGUUACACUUUGUUUUCAAAGCACAGCCCCAAACCAAUCUCUGUUUGGAACCAUUUAGCUCUGUUUGUUUAGAACAGAACACUUUGUUUUAGGCAGCCAAUUAAGAAACGCAGAGCAAGCUUGUCUCUACAGCGUGGUCUCGCACAGGGACAGCACUGCCGGUGUGGUGCAGCAGAAAGCCAGGCGAAAGCAGAGCACAGGUGUGGGAGACGGA